rnacentral:lncRNA from 1 species
GUGCGGGUCGCUGGGUUCUGAUCCUCUCUCUCUCUCUCUCUCUCUCUCUCUCUCUCUCAGAAGAAAAAAGAAAAGAAAAGGGUUAUUUUUGCUUGUUUUGGAGGUUUUAGCCCCUGACUGGUCGGCCCCGUGGCUUUGGGCCUAUGGUGAGGCACUGAUCGGGGCAGAAGCAUGUGGCCGAGCAGAACCACUGGCUUGUGGCCAGGAAGCAAAAGAGAAGAAGGGGCGGACCGGGGUUUCGCAGUCCCCUCAGAGGGCACCCUGCCAACGCCUGAGGCCCUCUCUCUAGACCCACCUCCCAAAGACUGCACCACCUCCUGAAAGCACCAUGCCAGGGACCAAAUCCUAACACAUGGGCCUCUCAGGGACCUUUCAGAUCUAAACCAUAACCCUGGCUUUCAGGGGUGGGUUUUUUGUCUGUUUUUUGGUACCACGGAUUGAACUCUGACACUCGACCACUGAGCCACACCCCCAGCCCUAUUUUGUAUUUUAUUUAGAGACAGGGUCUCACUGAGUUGCUUAGCAUAUCGCUUUUUGCUGAGGCUGGCUUUGAGCUCACGAUCCUCCUGCCUCAGCCUCCUGAGUCACUGGGAUUACAGGAGUAAGCCACUGCACCCAGCUUAAAUUUUAUUUUUUUUGACAUAGGUUCUUGCUUAGUCGAGGCUGGCCUGGGACUUGCAAUCCCCCUGCUUCAUCCUCCCGAGUCUCUGGAAUUACAGGCGUGCACCACCAUGCCCAGCAGCAAAAUGAAUUUUUAAAUCCCAGCUGUUUUGUUUUGUUUUUUUCUUGAUUUUGUCCACGAGUUUGAGCUUCUAUUUCCAGGAUGGUAGACUCCUCCUGAACUCGCCCUCCUUCGGGUAGUGCCACAAGCCAGGCAGCACGCAAACCAGCAUUAGCUGUGGUCACAGGGAGUGAGCCCAGGCCCAGACUCUGGAGAGGAGCCAGCACUAGGAAGCAGGGCAGGGCCGGUGAGCCACCUGUGUCUGAGGUCAAGACCCAGGCCAGACCAUGAAGGGCAGGUAAAACUCCAGCAACAACCUGAAGAGCUGGAAGGCAGAGUGAGGCAGUGGCACCUCUGGAAGGCAAGGGGCAUCCCAGAGAAGGGGAGACCCAUAUCAGAUGAUAACUCUUGCCUCGGUCUUUAGUUGACCUCUGAACCACGGUCAGCCAGACCCCAAACAGCCUGACCAAAGGACAGAGUGUGCUGGGCACAGUGGCGUAUUCCUGUAAUCCCAACAAUUUGGGAGGCUGAGGCAGGAGGAUCACAAGUUUGAGGCCAGCCUGGGCAACCUAGUGAGGUCCUGUCCCCAAAAAUAAAUCAAGUGGGGAUGCAGCCCAGUGGUAGAGCACCCCUAGGUUCAACCUCCAGUACAAAAACACAAAGUUCCCCAAGGAUAGAGUGUGGUCUGAGUCCCGUCAAGUCAAUUGCCAACUAACACAAAAAAUCAGCACUACUUUAAAAGAAUGCAGACUUACCACAGACUAUCAUCAUGUCAAGGACACAAUCCAAAAUCAACCAAUAUUAAAAGAAAAUAAUGUGAUUUCAUUCUCAAAAAAAAGAAGGCUGGAGAUCGACCCUGACAGGACCCAGAUGAUGGAGUUAACAAGCCGGGAUGUCAAGGCAACCCCAUGACCGUGCCCACUGGUGUGCAGAACAUAGGCUUUCAACAGUGGAUAGAUGGAGACAGUCAUGGCAGAUCACAGGAACCACAGGUCUGAAUGGAGAUUCUGGAACUGAAAAUGAAAAUGUUUUCAGUGAAAGUUAACUGGACUAAGAGCAAAGCAGGGAUCACGCAGUGAACUUGACCGUGUCUCAGUAGAACUUAUCCAAUCUAAAGGAAGCGCCUGUGGGGCAAUGUCACAUGCCUGUGUGUGACACAGUUUACAAAGAGAGGAGAGAAGGAAUGGAGUGGGGAAAGGUAUCUGGCGGAAAAAAUGACUGGAACUUCCUACAUGUGGUGAGAAACAUGAACUUACAUAUGUAAGAAAUUCUGGGGCUGGGGAUAGAGCUCAGCUGGUAGAGGCUUGACUCACAUGCACAAGGCCCUGGGUUCCAUCCCCAGCACCACAAAAGAAAAAGAAAAAUUCUGUGAUCAACUCAAGGAGAACCAAGUGUAGGUACAUCAUAGUCAAAUUGCUGGAAAGCAAAUACGAAAUGAAAAAAAUUUUUAAAAAGAGCCCUAGAAAAACAACACAUGGCAUGCAGGGGUAGAGGCUAGAACUGGCUGACUUCUCAGAAACCAUGGAAACCACAUGCGAAGGCCCUGGGUUUGAUCCUCAGCACCACGUAAAAAUAAAUUAAUAAAGUAAAUAAAUAAAUAAAGAUAUUGUGUCCUACUGCAAUUAAAACACAAAUAUUUAAAAAAUCAGUAAAUGGGAUGGACUCAAACUAAAAAGCUUCUUCUCAGCAAAAGAAAUAAUCCAUGAGGUGAAUAGAGAGCCUGCUAAUUGGGAACAAAUUCUUACAACACGCACAUCAAAUACAGCACUAAUCUCUAGAUAUAAAGAACGCAAAAAUCUUAACACCAGAAAAACAACCCAAUCAGUAAAUGGGCCAAGGUACUGAACAGACACUUCUCAGAAAGUGAUAUACAACCAAUCAACAAAUACAUGAAAAAUGUUCAACAUCUCUAACAAUUAGAGAAAUGCAAAUCAAAACUACUCCAAGACUUCAUCUCACUGCAGUCAGAAUGGCAGCUAUUAAGAAUACAAACACCUGUAAGUGUUGGCGAGGAUGUGGGGGAAAGGCACACUCAGACAUUGCUGGUGGGACUGCAAACUGGUGCAGCCAAUAUGGAAAACAGUAUGGAGAUUCCUUGGAAAACUGGGAAUGGCACCACUAUUUGACCCAGCUAUCCCACUCCUUAGUCUAAACCCAAAGGACUUAAAAUCAGCAUACUACAGGGACACAGCCACAUCCAUGUUUAUAGCAGCACAAUUCACAAAAGCUAAACUGUGGAGCCAACCUAGAUGCCCUUCAGUGAAUGAAUGGAUAAAGAAAAAAUGUGGCAUAUGUACACAGUGGAAUGUUACUCAGCAGUAAGAGAGAAUAAAAUCAUGGCAUGUGCAGGUAAAUGGAUGGAGCUGGAGAAUAUAAUGCUAAGUGAAGUUAGCCAAUCCCAAAAAACAAAUGCCGAAUGGUUUCUCUGAUGUGAGAGGCUGACUCAUAAUAUGCUGCAGGGGGG